GAUGCUCUACCUCUGAGCUAAGUGGGC
rnacentral:tRNA from 1 species